CACAGCUCUCCGAGUCUGACAUAUUUCUCUGGCUAAAAGGGAAGAAACAUAUCGGCACUCAUGUUGGGAAGACCUUAGAACAGCAAAGUACUAAAACUUGCCAAACCAACUUCAAGUGGCUUUCUUGUUAGUGCAAUACACACUGCACUGAGUUCCUGAGCAUAAUAUUUCCACCCUUUCCCACGGAGUCUGCUUAAAUUUGAAGAUUUUUUUUCUAGUAGGUGUAUUGUCCUUAAUUUUGGAGGAAGUUUUAAAAAGGUGGAUUAAUGUUAUAUAUGCUUCCGAGAAUAUUAUGCAACCAUGAAGCUUUGCACUUCAACAUAAAUGAAUCCCAAAAAGAGCCAGAUGAACUGUUGGCUGGGAGGCAGAGCCUUAGGAUGUUUCAAAUUCAUCGUGACUUCACAUAAAGGUCCUCUCUGGAGUAUGAAAGUCAAUUUUACAGGUGUAAAAUAAAGGAAAAGACGACAGUCUGAAAGUCAAACGAAAUUCCAGGACCACCUGUAUUUCAGUGAGGUUGCCUCUCAUAUCUCUUCAUCAUAUAUACCUCUUCAAAUUCAAUCGAGAUUUCAAUUCGUCUCA
rnacentral:lncRNA from 1 species